AAAAGCAGCCUUCUAUUGCUAAAAGAACAAUCCGACGUUGAGUAAAAGCAUGUCAUGUACAGAUUAAAACGCAAUAUACUCCAUAAAUCAUCAAAUACUCAACGCCGCAUUGCAAGAAUGGGGAAAACGCACUCCAAAUGCGCCUCAACAAGCCUCCAUUCUUCAAAAUUUUGAGAUUUAUUGAAACCGCAAUGCGAAGCGAGAAAGACCGCAAUGAAAACAAUUGGCGAAUCGCUCACCUUGGUCCGAAUUCAGUUGGAAGUUAAAAGAAGAAUUUUGGUCCGAACUGCCGGGAUGCGAAUUAGGGUUUAUCGGGAGCGUCUUUCAAGAUAGGGGAAACGAG
rnacentral:lncRNA from 1 species